rnacentral:rRNA from 1 species
GGGGGGGGCGGGGGGGGGGGUGGACGCAGGCGGGGCGGGCGGGAGGGCCCUGCUGUUGUGGGGUGCUCGAGUGGCGAACGGGUGAGUAACACGUGAGUAACCUGCCCUUGACUUUGGGAUAACUUCAGGAAACUGGGGCUAAUACCGGAUAGGAGCUCCUGCUGCAUGGUGGGGGUUGGAAAGUUUCGGCGGUUGGGGAUGGACUCGCGGCUUAUCAGCUUGUUGGUGGGGUAGUGGCUUACCAAGGCUUUGACGGGUAGCCGGCCUGAGAGGGUGACCGGCCACAUUGGGACUGAGAUACGGCCCAGACUCCUACGGGAGGCAGCAGUGGGGAAUAUUGCACAAUGGGCGGAAGCCUGAUGCAGCAACGCCGCGUGCGGGAUGACGGCCUUCGGGUUGUAAACCGCUUUCGCCUGUGACGAAGCGUGAGUGACGGUAAUGGGUAAAGAAGCACCGGCUAACUACGUG